UUAAGGGCGCACGGUGGAUGCCUUGGCACUAGAAGCCGAUGAAGGACGUUACUAACGACGAUAUGCUUUGGGGAGCUGUAAGUAAGCUUUGAUCCAGAGAUUUCCGAAUGGGGAAACCCAGCAUGAGUUAUGUCAUGUUAUCGAUAUGUGAAUACAUAGCAUAUCAGAAGGCACACCCGGAGAACUGAAACAUCUUAGUACCCGGAGGAAGAGAAAGAAAAUUCGAUUCCCUUAGUAGCGGCGAGCGAAAUGGGAAGAGCCCAAACCAACAAGCUUGCUUGUUGGGGUUGUAGGACACUCUAUACGGAGUUACAAAGGACGACAUUAGACGAAUCAUCUGGAAAGAUGAAUCAAAGAAGGUAAUAAUCCUGUAGUCGAAAAUGUUGUCUCUCUUGAGUGGAUCCUGAGUACGACGGAGCACGUGAAAUUCCGUCGGAAUCUGGGAGGACCAUCUCCUAAGGCUAAAUACUCUCUAGUGACCGAUAGUGAACCAGUACCGUGAGGGAAAGGUGAAAAGCACCCCGGAAGGGGAGUGAAAUAGAACCUGAAACCGUGUGCUUACAAGUAGUCAGAGCCCGUUAAUGGGUGAUGGCGUGCCUUUUGUAGAAUGAACCGGCGAGUUACGAUUUGAUGCAAGGUUAAGCAGUAAAUGUGGAGCCGUAGCGAAAGCGAGUCUGAAUAGGGCGUUUAGUAUUUGGUCGUAGACCCGAAACCAGGUGAUCUACCCUUGGUCAGGUUGAAGUUCAGGUAACACUGAAUGGAGGACCGAACCGACUUACGUUGAAAAGUGAGCGGAUGAACUGAGGGUAGCGGAGAAAUUCCAAUCGAACCUGGAGAUAGCUGGUUCUCUCCGAAAUAGCUUUAGGGCUAGCCUCAAGUGAUGAUUAUUGGAGGUAGAGCACUGUUUGGACGAGGGGCCCCUCUCGGGUUACCGAAUUCAGACAAACUCCGAAUGCCAAUUAAUUUAACUUGGGAGUCAGAACAUGGGUGAUAAGGUCCGUGUUCGAAAGGGAAACAGCCCAGACCACCAGCUAAGGUCCCAAAAUAUAUGUUAAGUGGAAAAGGAUGUGGCGUUGCCCAGACAACUAGGAUGUUGGCUUAGAAGCAGCCAUCAUUUAAAGAGUGCGUAAUAGCUCACUAGUCGAGUGACACUGCGCCGAAAAUGUACCGGGGCUAAACAUAUUACCGAAGCUGUGGAUUGUCCUUUGGACAAUGGUAGGAGAGCGUUCUAAGGGCGUUGAAGCAUGAUCGUAAGGACAUGUGGAGCGCUUAGAAGUGAGAAUGCCGGUGUGAGUAGCGAAAGACGGGUGAGAAUCCCGUCCACCGAUUGACUAAGGUUUCCAGAGGAAGGCUCGUCCGCUCUGGGUUAGUCGGGUCCUAAGCUGAGGCCGACAGGCGUAGGCGAUGGAUAACAGGUUGAUAUUCCUGUACCACCUAUAAUCGUUUUAAUCGAUGGGGGGACGCAGUAGGAUAGGCGAAGCGUGCGAUUGGAUUGCACGUCUAAGCAGUAAGGCUGAGUAUUAGGCAAAUCCGGUACUCGUUAAGGCUGAGCUGUGAUGGGGAGA
rnacentral:rRNA from 3 species